rnacentral:rRNA from 1 species
CCUACGGGUGGCAGCAGUGAGGAAUAUUGGUCAAUGGGCGCGAGCCUGAACCAGCCAAGUCGCGUGAGGGAAGACGGCCCUACGGGUUGUAAACCUCUUUUGCCGGGGAGCAACGGGCGCCACGUAUGGCGCCACUGAGAGUACCCGGAGAAAAAGCAUCGGCUAACUCCGUGCCAGCAGCCGCGGUAAUAGGGAGGAUGAGAGCGGUAUCCGGAUUGAUUGGGUUAAAGGGGUGCGUAGGCGGAGCGUUAAGUCAGUGGGAAAAUUGCGGGGUUAAACCACUACCCGCAAUUGAAACUGGCGCUCUUGAGUGGAAGAGAAGUAUGCGGAAUGCGAGGUGUAGCGGUGAAAUGCAUAGAGAUCACGCAGAACCCCGAUUGCGAAGGCAGCAUGCCGGCUUCAUACUGACGCUGAAGCACGAAAGCGUGGGGAGCGAACAGGAUUAGAUACCCUGGUAGUC